ACCCCGGGGACCUCGGCGGGUCUCCACCCCUGGGAGAAGAAGCAGAGCAAGCGCGAAGAUGAGAUGAAGAACAAAGCCCAUAUGAGUCAUAAGAGACAGUUUAAUCAGUCCGUGACCAAAAUCAAACAGAGUAAACUGUGUCAUCAUGGAGAUCUGCCCAGGAAAUCCCCAAAAUACAGAAGGAUCAGAAGUAGAUGGAAAUAAUGUCAUAGAACGUCUCUCACAACUGUGUUAUAAGAAUGACAGGGAAGCUACAGGUUACAACAGAUUUGUGAACUCAGCCAAGCACAGUGGUGGCAGGGCCUAGCUGCUACAAAGAAGACAUGUUUUAGACAAAUACUCAUGUGUAUGGGCAAAAAACUCGAGGACUGUAUUUGUGACUAAUUGUGUAACAGGGUAUUUUAGUUCCUGUUCUGUGGAAAGUGUAAAGCAUUCCAACAAAGGGUUUUAAUGUAGAUUUUUUUUUGCACCCAUGCUUUGAUUGCUAAAUGUAAUAGUCAGAUCGUGACGCUGAAUAAAUGUCUUUUUCUAAAAAAAAAAAAAAAGAAUGACACAUAUUUGUUCUUCAUUCUUGUUUCACAUUAGUAGUGGCAUUUCUCAUGCUCUAUUUUCCCAGCCUUGUUCUAUAUUUUGAGUUAUGUGAAUAAAAGUAUGCCAG
rnacentral:lncRNA from 1 species